CCUACGGGAGGCAGCAGUGAGGAAUAUUGGUCAAUGGACGAGAGUCUGAACCAGCCAAGUAGCGUGAAGGAUGACUGCCCUAUGGGUUGUAAACUUCUUUUAUAUGGGAAUAAAACGUUCCACGUGUGGGAUUUUGUAUGUACCAUAUGAAUAAGGAUCGGCUAACUCCGUGCCAGCAGCCGCGGUAAUACGGAGAAUCCGAGCGUUAUCCGGAUUUAUUGGGUUUAAAGGGAGCGUAGGUGGCUUGUUAAGUCAGUUGUGAAAGUAUGCGGCUCAACCGUAAAAUUGCAGUUGAAACUGGCAGUCUUGAGUACAGUAGAGGUGGGCGGAAUUCGGGGUGUAGCGGUGAAAUGCUUAGAUAUCACGAAGAACUCCGAUUGCGAAGGCAGUUCACUGGACUGCAACUGACACUGAGGCUCGAAAGUGUGGGUAUCAAACAGGAUUAGAUACCCGAGUAGUC
rnacentral:rRNA from 1 species